AGUCUAACAUGUAUGCGAGUUGGCGGGUUGAAAACCCGUAAGCGCAAGUAACCUGACUGGUGGGAUGGCCUGUGCCUGCACCAGGUGCUUUCCACGAGUCGGGUUGUUUGGGAAUGCAGCCCUAAUUUGGAGGUAAAUCCCUUCUAAGACUAAAUACUGCUGAGAGACCGAUAGCGAACAAGUACCGUGAGG
rnacentral:ncRNA from 1 species